UCCGAUAUGGUGUAGUGGCUAACAUUAUCGCCUCUCAUCAACCUGAUUGGUAGUUUUGCGCGAUAGCCCGGGGUUCGAUUCCCCGUGUCGGAA